UACAGAGGAUGCAAGCGUUAUCCGGAAUGAUUGGGCGUAAAGCGUUUGUAGGUGGCUUUUUAAGUCCGCCGUCAAAUCCCAGGGCUCAACUCUGGACAGGCGGUGGAAACUACCAAGCUGGAGUACGGUAGGGGCAGAGGGAAUUUCCGGUGGAGCGGUGAAAUGCGUAGAGAUCGGAAGGAACGCCCGUGGCGAAAGCGAGCUCCUGGAUGUCUUCUGACGCUGAGACGCGAAAGCUAGGGUAGCGAACGGG
rnacentral:rRNA from 1 species